UACGGAGGGUGCAAGCAUUGAACGGAAUUACUGGGCGUAAAGGGCGCGUAGGCGGCUUAGGAAGUCAGAUGUGAAAUACCGGGGCUCAACCCCGGUGCUGCAUUUGAAACUCCUAGGGUAGAGGACAGUUAGGGAAAACGGAAUUCCACGUGUAGCGGUGAAAUGCGUAGAUAUGUGGAAGAACACCGGUGGUGAAGACGGUUUUCUGGGCUGAACCUGACGCUGAGGCGCGAAAGUGUGGGGAGCGAACAGG
rnacentral:rRNA from 1 species